rnacentral:rRNA from 1 species
GAUGAACGCUGGCGGCGUGCCUAAUACAUGCAAGUCGAGCGAACAGACGAGAGUGCUUGCACUCUCUGACGUUAGCGGCGGACGGGAGUGUAACACGUGGGUAACCUACCUAUAAGACUGGGAUCACUUCGGGAAACCGGCGCUAAUACCGGAUAAUAUUUAGCUUCGCAUGACGCAAUAGUGAAAGACGGUUCUGCUGUCACUUAUAGAUGGACCCGCGGUGUAUUAGCUAGUUGGUGAGGUAACGGCUCACCAAGGCAACGAUACAUAGCCGACCUGAGAGGGUGAUCGGCCACACUGGGACUGAGACACGGCCCAGACUCCUACGGGAGGCAGCAGUAGGGAAUCUUCCGCAAUGGGCGAAAGCCUGACGGAGCAAUGCCGCGUGAGUGAUGAAGGUCUUCGGAUCGUAAAACUCUGUUGUAAGGGAAGAACAAGUACGUUAGUAACUAUACAUACCUUGACGGUACCUAAUCAGAAAGCCACGGCUAACUACGUG